GUUUAUUGGACGAGAUCAUGUAGUUUUCUCUCAAAGAAAGAAAAAAAAACUGUUUCUUGUUUCGUUGUGUGCAUUCUUUUGCUCAAUUCAGUGGUGUUUUGGUAUAUCACAAAUGUUUUUGGUUUUGUUUCUGUAACGUUAUCUCUUGUGACCGUAGAACAUCGUAGUUCAAGAAAUGCUAUUAUCAUGGUGACACUGGCCUCAUUCACCGUCUACAAGGACAAAGUUUGACUAUAACUGCGGCCAAUAGUACUACCACUAGCACGUAUACAACCGGUGAUAUAGUGGAUUGCGGUAUUGACUAUGUUUCACAGGAAUUUUUCUUCACCAAAAAUGGAUCUCUGGUUGGGACAAGCCCCAACGUCUUCAAAGGUGUUCUGUACCCAACAGUGGCUCUACAUAGCGAAAACGAGGAAGUUACUGUGAAUUUCGAACCUGAAACGUUUCUUUUUGAUCUUGUGGGGUACAAAACAUCUAUCAAGGAAAAGCUCAACGUGGAGAUUGACAAGAUAUCUCUCUCUCCAAGCGUACCUUUAGACCUGGUGAAGAGCUACUUGACUCAGUAUGGAUAUCAGAAUACUCUCCAUGCCCUCGGCGGUCCAGUUCCAGAUCCAGACAACCACCCUCCAGAUCCAGACAACCACCCUCCACAUCCGCCUUCUGAUCUGGAGGUAGUUCUCAGACCGCUUAGGGCUUCGUCUUACUUCUGCCGUCAAUGAAUCCAUUCUUCCUUCACCAGUUGCUUAUAGCCUAACCAUCCGCAUCUUUUAGAACAAACAGUCAAAAACGUUCCACGGUUCCUUUGAGACUUUUGGUCGUUUGACUUCUUUUAGAAAAAUUCCUUUUUUUUUCUUUUUCCUUUUGGCUUUUGUGGAUAAUGGAAAAUAUUUGAUUUCGUAACAAUAGGGGGAAGAACUUUUAAUGUCUUUUUCAACCUCCCAAAAAUACUGAUACAUCUACUCUUCUCUACGAUAGAAUACUAUCAAUGUUUUUCUGGUGUUUCUCUGGCUCAUGCCAUAAUGAGCUUUGAGCUCAGGUCUGAAAAGUUCAAUUUGAUAAAAUAUCCGUCCAGGGAUGGUUGUUUUUUCGUAUCUUAUGAGGGAAGACUAGCUUUGAUGCUAAGCUCCAAUGGCCGCUCUGGUAUUGAAUUGUGGAUCUUGGUAAAUGCAGAGAAUCACGAAUGGGUAUACAAACACUUUCCUACACCUUAUUUUCCUUACACAGUUUGGGCUUUAAGGGAUAUGAAGUUGAAGGGUGUUACUGACGCGGGUGAGUUUAUCUACUUUUAUUCACCAUUCUCUAUUUAUAGACGUCGUACGGACCUUAUUCACCUAAGUUCUGAAGGAUGGAGUGGGUUUAGAGUUAUAUAUUUUGAUCCGAAGAAAAACAGUUCAAGAGACGUUAAGUUUCCAGGAAUUGCAAUUGACGAUUUAAAGUGACUUCGUGUACCUGGAUUCGAUCUUAUGAAAGACUUAACUGUUGUACCAAAUCACAUUGAGACUCUCAUGGCGUUGUAAUAACUGGCUUACGUUUUUUCUUAGA